GUGUAAUGGUGAGGGCUUUGGACUCUGACUACAGUGAUCAGAGUUCAAGUCUCAGUGGGACCUUUCUGUAUAAUUCCAGUGAGGUUCCUCUCUAUUGCUCCCGAGUGGAAUGGGGGAAAUUGCCGCAAUCGUGGUCAUGGACCCUCCAGGCCACUGGCUAUAUGCAAUUGGAGUCCUGGACCCAGUGACCCAGCAAGACCCCUCCCCUCUCAGGGUGACCCUGGGCUUCCAGGUCAGAGGUCUCCUCCACUAAAAAGGCUGCCUUCCCUCAAUCCUAGACCCCGAGU
rnacentral:lncRNA from 10 species